AGAAAGGUAACGGGCAAACGCGUUAUCCAAUCACAUUAAGAUGAUAUGCAGCCAAUCGGAAAUAAAUGUUGAGAAGCCAAACUUGAGGGAGAAAUAAACAUAAAUUUUAAAUCAAUGAACGUGAAAAAAUACUCCCCACAAUUGUAUAGUGUAAGUAGGAAAAUGAAAAUAUGUUAAAAUUUUGUCUGUCACCACGAACCGAAGAGUAAUAGCUUCUGAAUGCGAUAGAUCCCUUCAGGCAUCUUUCGGUGACCCCGGCGUCGAUCACUGAUUUACGAAGGAUUGUAAUUCAUCGUGGUUACACCCGAGCGACGCUACAGUCCGAAAGCCAGUCACCGAGCCAAGUAAUUCUCUGCGUUAAGUUCUGGACGCGGGAUCAGACCCCAUUCCCGCCGAGAUGCUCACAGUCCUGUGGGAGAAGUCCGAACGGGAAACUGCGACGAUUCCGCAGACAGAUGCGCUUAACAAUGGGACGGUGUGUCAGUACGGGACCAGCUCUGCCACGUGGCGACAAUCGGCCGGAGCUGCCCAGCAGCUUCCCCCUCGGAGGGGGAAGGGUGCUCGGGUUUGCCGCCGUCUGCUGCUUGCCGUUACCUCCACAUCGAGGCUGACAGGCAGUUGCCACUUAUUGUUGUGCUUGUGCUGUUGUUGUUCUUAGGUAAACAGGAAGUUAAUAUAUUUCCCGUUGUUUUCAAACGUCGAAUAAUGAAAACGUGUGGAGUAGCUGACAAUAUGAUGUGAUGAUUAUGUGAUUUUUUUAAUAUUGUGCUGGAGAAUUUUUAAUAAACCCACAUAAGGAACAGUUGA